AGAGUUUGAUCCUGGCUCAGAUUGAACGCUGGCGGUAUGCUUUACACAUGCAAGUCGAACGGAUUAAGAAGCUUGCUUCUUAGUUAGUGGCGAACGGGUGAGUAAUAUAUCGGAACAUAUCCGGAAGUGGGGGAUAACGUAGCGAAAGUUACGCUAAUACCGCAUAUGCCCUGAGGGGGAAAGGGGGGGAUCGCAAGACCUCUCGCUUUCGGAGUGGCCGAUAUCGGAUUAGCUAGUAGGUGAGGUAAAGGCUCACCUAGGCGACGAUCCGUAGCUGGUCUGAGAGGACGACCAGCCACACUGGAACUGAGACACGGUCCAGACUCCUACGGGAGGCAGCAGUGGGGAAUUUUGGACAAUGGGCGAAAGCCUGAUCCAGCCAUACCGCGUGAGUGAAGAAGGCCUUCGGGUUGUAAAGCUCUUUCAGACGGAAAGAAAAGGUUUCGGAUAAUACCUGGAACUGAUGACGGUACCGUAAGAAGAAGCACCGGCUAACUACGUGCCAGCAGCCGCGGUAAUACGUAGGGUGCGAGCGUUAAUCGGAAUUACUGGGCGUAAAGCGUGCGCAGGCGGUUUUUUAAGCCAGAUGUGAAAUCCCCGGGCUCAACCUGGGAACUGCAUUUGGAACUGGAAGACUAGAGUAUAGCAGAGGGAGGUAGAAUUCCACGUGUAGCAGUGAAAUGCGUAGAUAUGUGGAGGAAUACCGAUGGCGAAGGCAGCCUCCUGGGUUAAUACUGACGCUCAUGCACGAAAGCGUGGGGAGCAAACAGGAUUAGAUACCCUGGUAGUCCACGCCCUAAACGAUGUCAACUAGGUGUUGGGGGGAGGAGACUUCCUUAGUACCG
rnacentral:rRNA from 1 species